UUGAAACAUUGGUUCCUGUACGAUCACUGAAGUUAAGCAAUGUCAAGUCUGGCCAGUACCUAGAUCAGUGACCACUUAGGAAUACCAGGUGCUGUAAG